rnacentral:rRNA from 1 species
UACGUAGGGCGCAAGCGUUGUCCGGAAUCAUUGGGCGUAAAGCGCGCGUAGGUGGCUUUGUAAGUCCGUUGUGAAAGUCAAAGGCUCAACCUUUGAAAGCCGAUGGAUACUGCGGAGCUAGAGUACGGAAGAGGCGAGUGGAAUUCCUGGUGUAGCGGUGGAAUGCGCAGAUAUCAGGAGGAACACCAAUAGCGAAGGCAGCUCGCUGGGACGUUACUGACACUGAGGCGCGAAAGCGUGGGGAGCGAACAGG